rnacentral:lncRNA from 1 species
CUGCCCAAACCAUCACUCCAUGACUUACCACCGGAGGCUAAGGCGGAGACGCGUACCUCGUUCACAAUGUCCCGUUGUCUCCCGUUUCUCCGUGAGGUUAUGGUGAAGUUGAAAGCGACGACCAACCUUGCGGCCUUGAUUGUAGAUCUGUUCGGUACGGAUGCCUUCGACGUCGUUACGGAUCUCGAGAUCAAUCCUUACAUCAUGUUUCCGUCGACUGCUACGUUGCUGAAUUUCAUGUUCCAUCUCGAGGACCUCGACCAGACCAUACAGGGAGAGUAUCGGGACCAUGCUCAUCUCAUUCAGGUUCCAGGUUGCGUCCCGUUUCACGGUAAAGAUUUGUUGGUGCCGGUGCAGGAUAGGAAGGACCAAGCGUACAGUUUAAUUCUGCGUAAUUCCACCAGAUACAAGGAAGCCGCAGGUAUUUUCUUCAACAGUGCUUCUUCCAUCGAACCUGAGCCCAUCAAGGAGUUGAUGAGUAUGAAUAGUCCUCCUGUUUAUUCCAUCGGACCGAUGAUACAUGAUACUAGCGGUGAAGAUGAUAGCUCUAGCUGUGUCAAGUGGUUGGACGAACAACCACCCGGAUCGGUUCUUUUCGUCAGCUUCGGAAGCGGUGGGAGACUUUCGUCAGAGCAGCUUACCGAACUAGCUAUGGGGUUAGAGAUGAGUGGGCAUAGGUUCCUUUGGAUCGCACGUAGUCCGACGGAAACAGUCCAAGAGAAGAGCAAGAACGACCCGUUGUUGUUUUUACCAGAUGGGUUCUUGGAAAGAACAAUAGAAAUUGGAUUGGUGAUCGACUCAUGGGCACCGCAACUAGCUAUUCUGAAGCAUGCCGCAAUAGGAGGUUUCUUGACGCACUGUGGGUGGAACUCGUCUUUAGAGAGCAUAGUGCACUCUGUUCCGAUGAUCGCAUGGCCUCUCUACGCGGAGCAAAAUAUGAAUGCCGUGAUGUUGGCGGAGGAAUUGAAGAUUGCGAUAAGACCGGUGGUCGACGAGAAGCGAGGGAUGAUCGGAAGGGAUGAGAUUUCUAAAGUUGUGAGGGAACUGAUGGAAGGAGAAGAAGGGAAGAACUUGAGAAUUAAUGUAGAAAGAAUUGCAAAAAAUGCCAUCAAAGAAAAUCCUUACAGAUCACUUGAUCCAAUUAUCAACAUAUGGAAAAAUAUGAUACGUACGGAUGUACCUGUUUGACUAUGAAGAUAUCACUGGAGACGUCGACACUAUUGGGAAAAUAGCUGAAGAAAACCUAGCUUCCGAGGAAGAAGACGGCUCGUGAACCGGCAAAACCGCUCCAGACCGACAGAAAAGACCGCUAAACCAGUGAGGUUCAAUGAUUUCGUGAUGGGCCAAGGAAGUAACAAUGAAUAAGCCCAAUGAGAAUUAAUUUAGAAUUUCCUUUAUUAAAAAAACUCCUGUGGCCGGCCCUGUAGUAGUUUAAUUCUGUUUUUCAAAUUCCUAGGUAUAAAAACUGUUGUAAUGAUUGAAAAAAUCUUUAUCGAUUAAAACAACAAAAUAUUUCGCAACCCGAAUCUCCAUCCGGCUCCACGGUUACAUUUUCCGAUCACGAUCUGCUUCUUCUUCGUUCACUGUCGCAUCAAACACUUGAUCUCCUUGCUUAACAGCAAAUAGAAAGAUUGGAGCUAAUAAGACUUGAUUUAAGGGACCCAUCCGCUUGGUGCCUCAGACCCAGGGUUAAUAGAUCUUGGACAGAGGCACCUAAAUGGACAGGUUGAUUUGUUUCUUACGCAUCUUUUAGAAUGGUUUCAAAAUAACACUUCAAAUUAAAGCACACUACUCGUUAUAACUAUCAUAUUAUAAUUCGAAUUCGAAUUCAGAUGUCAAAAAUAAUAUUCGAAAAUUAUUUGGACAGAUUCAGAUAUUUACAGUAAUAUCUAUCGUUAAAAUUCGAAUUUAAUUUUUGAUAAUAUUUAAUAAUUAUUAUUUAUAAACUUAAUUAAAUUAUAUUAUUAUUUAAGAUUUUAGAGUGAUUAAUUAACUAUUAGUUAACUUUAUUAAAGUUGAUUUUAUACUUUCCUCAUUUCAUUUUAAUGUUUUUUAUAAUAAAAAAUUGUCUAAAUUCAGAUUUUUCAAAUAUUCAAAAAUUUAUCCGAAAAUCCGAUCCAUUUAUUUUCGUCCUAGUCAUCGUGUUUGACUACAUUACCAACCAGUUGGUACUCAACGAUAGAUACCGGAGUAGCCGUACAAUAUAAUACUAGGUAAGCCACUUGCCGACAAUUUAUUCGGCGGUGUACCCACUUUAUCUAGAAGGUUCAGAUUUUUUUUCCCAUUCAACUCGUAUCAUGACAUCAUCCACUAUGUCAUUCAUAUCAUCAUCAUCUUCGCAAAUUAUUCUGAUUUUGUCUUAUAAAUUGAACAUGUUGGUGCAAUCAAGUCAAAAAUGGCAAAUAACCCACCUCAUGUUGUCAUCUUGCCAAGUCCCGGGAUGGGUCACCUGAUUCCGUUGGCCGAGUUUGCUAAACUUCUUACGACCAACUACGGCGUAAACGUCACCUUCCUAACUCUCGACGACUCCCCACAAAUCAAAUCCUUCAUCAAUGCUCUCCCAGAUACCAUCACCUACAUUCCUCUACCCAUACCAGAUUUGCCACCAACAGAGAUAGCGGUGAAGCGGAUGAUACUCAUCGUAGCUCAUUGUCUGCCCUUUCUCCGCGAAGUUAUGGCGAAGUUGAAAGCCUCGACUAACCUUGUGGCCUUCGUUGUAGAUCUGAUGGGUACAAAAACCUUUGAAGUCGCUAAGGAACUCGGUGUCAGUCCCUACAUCAUGUUUCCGUCGACAGCAACGUUUCUGAACUUGAUUUUCCAUCUACCGGAGCUCGAUCGGACUAUCCAAGGAGAGUAUAAGGACCAUCCUCAUCUCAUCCAGAUUCCUGGUUCUGCUCCGAUCCAUGGCAAGGAUUUUCCAAUGCCGUUUCUUCAAGAUAGGAAGAGCCAAGCGUACAUUUCUUCUUUUCAGAUAUGCGUCAGAUUCAAGGAAGCCGCGGGUAUUUUCAUUAACAGUGCUUCUGCCAUCGAAUCUGGACCGAUUAAGGCGCUAAUGAACAUGAAUAGUCCUCCGGUCUAUCCAAUCGGACCGUUAGUACAUGAUACUAACAGUGAAGAUGAUAGCUCUGGUUGCAUCAAGUGGUUGGACGAACAACUACCCGGAUCAGUUCUUUUCGUCAGCUUCGGAAGCGGUGGGAGACUUUCGUCGGAGCAGUUUACUGAACUGGCUGUAGGACUAGAGAUGAGAGGGCAUAGAUUCCUUUGGAUUGCACGUAGUCCGACGGAGACAGAAGAAAGAGGGUUCUUCGAAGUGAAAAGCAAAAGCGACCCGUUGUUGUUUUUACCAGAUGGGUUCUUGGAAAGAACAAAAGAAAUUGGAUUGGUGGUCGAUUCAUGGGCGCCGCAAUUAGCGAUUCUAAAGCAUGCCGCGAUAGGAGGCUUCUUGACGCACUGUGGGUGGAACUCGUCUUUAGAGAGCAUAGUGCACUCUGUUCCGAUGAUCGCAUGGCCUCUCUACGCGGAGCAAAAUAUGAAUGCAGCGAUGUUGGCGGGGGAAUUGAAGAUUGCGAUAAGACCUGUGGUCGACGAGAAGCGAGGUUUGAUCGGAAGGGAUGAGAUUUCUAAAGUUGUGAGGGAACUGAUGGAAGGAGAAGAAGGGAAGAAGUUGAGAAUUCAUGUGAAAAGAAUUGCAGAAAACGCCAUCAAAGAAGAUUCUUACAGAUCACUUGAUCCAAUUGUCAACAUAUGGAAAAAUAACAUUUCAACUUAGAUGCUGUUUUCAUCUUCAAAAUUAUAUAAUUUAUAUUAUUAAUUUAAAACAAGUUUCAAAAAAGCUGGCUUGAAACAACUUAGAAAUAGGUUUCUUUCAAGCAAAAUCUGAUUAUUUUGAAAAGAAAAUAAUCAAAACAUUCUAUAUCUUAUUGUUUGGCCAGACCUAAGUUUCUCAGCUAUAUAAUAAGGUAUAUAAAAAAUGCAAACAUGAUGAUUAGAGAAUAUUGUGAUGCUGAUUGGGCACCUUGUCAAAUUAACAGAAAAUCUUUAACAGAGUUUUGUAUCAUGCUAGGAGACUCAUUAAUCUUUUGGAAAACAAAGAAACAAAACACACUAGUCAGAUCAUCACGUGAGACAAAAUAUAGAGUCGUAGCUCAAGUAACAUGUGAAAUUUAUAUGGAUCCAUCAACUAAUAGAUGAACUCAAAAUUAUAAUCAUUAAGCUCAUAGACCUCUACUGUGAUAAUAAAUCGGCAAUUCACCUAGUAAAUAAUCCAGUCUUUCAUGAAAGGGCAAAACACAUAAAGGUGGAUUGUCAUUUCAUAAAAUAGAUAAUAAAUCAAAAAAAGAUCUCAUUGAAGCAAAUUGAAACUAAGUUCUAACUUUCAGAUUUUCUCACAAAAACACUUGCUAAGAAAGAGAUCACAACAUAUUCCACUCCAAACUUGGAAUAUUAAACAUAUAUUCAAAAGCUUGAGGGAGAGUAAAGGAAUUACCAUGUUUUCCAAUAUAAAUCAGAAUGAAUUACUGUAAAAGAUAUAAUUCUGUUUUAAUUAAGAUCAGAGGAAUUAAAACAAAUUAUCUGUUCAAGAACACUAUGAAGGUAAAUGAUCCAAUACUAACACCAGUUAUAUUAAAGAAGUUUGAGGCUAACAACGCAAAAAGUUUCAAUAAACCUCGUGCUCGUGUAAUAACAAGAAAGCUUGGGAUGAAAGUUACAAAUGUUUAAAUAACACAUAUUGGACCAAUUCGCUACUGGGCUACACGAUGGGCCAGAUUCAAAUAGUUAAAUAAAACUGUUUUGUAAUAUGUUAACUGUAAUUAGUUUAAUGUGUGUUAACUGUUAAGUAUUAUAUAAACAGAUGUAAACUGUGAUUAAUCAAUUGAAUGAAAAUACACUUAGUGACAAUUAAUCACUCUCUUAAUCACUCUUCAACAGAUUUUAGGGUAGCAGUUAGUUCGAAGAACCCUAGAAUCAGCCCCCUUUCUUGUAAUCUCACUACGUGGUCGAUUGAGUCGCUCUCUGCAUCAAUUCCUCUCCGGUAGUGUCAGUUAUGCAUAGAUUUAACAAAGAUUAAUUAAGAUUGGUGUAGUUUUAAUUCUCAGGAAUAAAAACACCAGUGAUUAACCCGGUUGAUCAAAUACAAUAUUAAAGUUUUUGAAAUCAAAUCUUAAUGUGUGCAUUUUAAUUUAUAUUUAUAUAUGUAUUACAUAUAGGACUUGAUUAUAAACUCGUUAAGGGUUUUUUAAUAAUUAAAUAAAAUAUAGAUAUUAAUUAAUAAUGACUAUUGAUAUCCUUAUCAAAGUUCAAACUUGCAUCCAAACCAAAGAUUUUGGAAUUUUGACCGAUUAUUUUGGAAUUUUGACCGAUUAUUUUGGAAUUAUACCUGAUUAAAAGGAUGUUCGAGUCAAACAUAUUCAUUUUCUAUAACAAUAGAAAUACUUACCUUGAUAUAUAAGAGUUUUAUCGUACUGAAAUUUAAAGUACACAACAAACGAGACUCGUAUCAUAAAUAUUAAUAAACCCUAAAAAUUAUUGUAAACAGUUAAGAUAAUCUUCAAAUAUGGUUGUCUACCAACGACCCAUUACGAAGGGUAAAUUGUAGUGAUACCCUAUAAUUUUACUUUCAGAUUUAGAUUCGUCAUGUUGUAACUGUUAGAACAACGAGGAGCUCGUAUUGGUUAGACGACCGGAGUUGGGUCGGCAGAAGUCGCCGCUGGAAUCGCCAUCGGAAAGAGGAGAAAGAAUUGAAUUAAUUAGAACUGAAUUAAUUAGUUCUGUCUGUAUAAUUAGAACUGAAUUAAUUGGCAACUAAUUUAAUUCUAAGUUACGUAAGUAAUUUAACUUGUAACGAAUCUUUUCAAACUUCCAAGGUCAUGACAUCAUCCAUGAUCUCAUUCAAUAUGAAAAAUAUCUGGUCUUUCGAUCGGUCUUAUAAAUGGUGUAGUUUGAAACAUCGGUAUCGACAUUCGUAUCCACACCAAAAAGUUAUCGAAAAUGGGAAGUUGUCAAGCACCACCAUCACCACCUCAUGUUGCUAUCUUGCCGAGUCCCGGGAUGGGUCAUCUGAUUCCGUUGGCCGAGUUUGCCAAACUUCUUACGACCAACUACGGGAUAACCGUCACCUUCCUAACUCUCGACGAAUCACCGAGAAUCAACUCCUUCAUCAAUGCUCUCCCAGAUACCAUCACCCAUAUUUCCCUGCCCAAACCAUCACUCCACGACUUACCACCGGAGGCUAAGGCGGAGACGCGUACCUCGUUCACAAUGUCCCGUUGUCUCCCGUUUCUCCGUGAGGUUAUGGUGAAGUUGAAAGCGACGACCAACCUUGCGGCCUUGGUUGUAGAUCUUUUCGGUACGAAUGCAUUCGACGUUGCUACGGAUCUCGAGAUCAAUCCUUACAUCAUGUUUCCGUCGACUGCUACGUUGCUUAAUCUCAUGUUCCAUCUCGAGGACCUCGACCGGACCAUCCAAGGAGAGUAUCGAGACCAUCCUGAUCUCAUUCGGAUUCCAGGUUGCGUCCCGUUUCACGGUAAAGAUUUGUUGGUGCCGGUGCAAGAUAGGAAGGACCA